rnacentral:misc_RNA from 1 species
CAACCCCUAAGCACAGCUUAUUGUUGGGAACCUACGGCUUCGUAGUUCCUCAAAGACAUUGGCGGAGUGGCAGUGGUCCUCUGAGCGUAGUAAUCUUUUAUCUCGCUUCUGUUAGGUGCUGCCCCCCCGGCCGUAAAACCCCCAAUUUUUUCUGG